rnacentral:siRNA from 1 species
UACAGCUUGCUUAUUACCCUCGUC